AGUGCAUGUGUAGCAUCCCUUUUAUAUACAGUAAGUCACAUAUUGAAUCAUAACUGGCUUUAAAACUAGAGGUGAGGUCACAGAUUCCCUCCUGUUUGCACCGAUACGUCAGUCAAACAUCCCAACAGAUAUUUUUUUGGUGCCACACUGCAUGUCAUAAGCUUCUGUUACUCUUUAACUACAGACUAUUAACCAUAUGCUAUUUGCAACCCGUGAUGUGGCCUCCCUGAUUAAAAGCUAUUUGAGAAUUUUGGUUGAAUCUGCCGGGUUCCUCAAAGAACUUUAAAUUGGCCAUUAAGACCGAGGCACUGAAAAGAGAAAAAUACUGUUAAGAUAUCAUGGCAACGCUGGCUGUUCUCUGCUAACAUUUCUGCUCAUGAGUAGGGUUGGAUAUUGAAAUUCGGUUCUAAGUAGGAACCAAAUCAAAAACGGCGGGUAUCUGGUACCCAUAAAAAUAUUUACUUUCAGUUCUGCUUUUCGGUUCUUGGACGGACUUAUAACCUUUUUUACAAUGGCUGCAUGUCUGCCAGGAAACCUCAGCGAGAGGGCUCUGGGAGACCUGUCUGUUAUGUGACUACGUCACACAUUCACGCUGAUAGCGCUGAUAGCGUGAAUGUGUGACGUAGUCACGUAAAGGAAAAAAAAACAACACCGGAGAAACUUUGCUAACCAUGGGAAACGCUCUGAAAUGUGGCUUCACUUUGAAAGACAAAGAGAUGAAAAAGGAAAGUGCAACAUAUGUCAUAAGCUUAUUAGCUGUAAGACAGGCUGCACGUCAAAUUUGACGAAACAUUUACGACUCCAUGGCAUCGAGCUGAAAGACUGUACAGUGUUCGAUCUUCUGCGGACCGACACAGCCAGUGCUAAUGUUGCUACAAGCAGCGUUAGCACCUUGCCAGCAGCCCCAAAAGAGAGACCGUUCACGUUGGCGAAAAGGAGGCUGACAAAAGAGAAAGCUGAGGAGUGUCACCGUGCGGUAACCAAGUUUGUAGUGAAAGGACUACAUCCUUUCUCGGUCGUCGAGUCUCCAUCAUUCAGUGUCCCUGGUCCCAGAGCUGGAUGCUUCAGAUCUGCGGUUGAUGUUCCACCAGCUGGUCCAGUCUCCAUCAUGUCCACUGUGGGAUGCUGUUGCUGACCUUCCUCCAGCCCUCUGCUUCCAGCUCCCCUUUUCCACCAGUCAACUCUGCAUCGCCUUCACUAUACUGUUAUGCUAACUUACAUACUGUUUGAAUUUUACUGCUAGCUAUAUAUGGAGUAUGUUUAAUGUCAGAGCCGUACAUCAUCAGAGUAAACUAUGAGUCAGUUUUCAAUGUUAGCUUAUACUUUGUCUGUGUCACAUAUCCUGUCAUGCAUGUAUCCAAAUGUGUGUUGUGUUUUCCUUGCUUUCCCACCCCUCCCUCUUCUCCCAUCCCUCCUCCUUGCCCUCCUCUGUCCUUCUCAACCCCCCCGGCCAGCAGGCAGAUGGGUCCCCCCUAAAUAGAGCCGGGUUCUGCUCGAGGUUUCUUCCCUGUUAAAAGGGUGUUUUUCUUGCCACUGUUGCCUUUGGGCUUGCUCUGGGGGUCAGGCUUAUGGGUUCUGUAAAGCGUCUUGAGACGAUUUGACUGUAACUGAUGCUAUAUAAAUAAAAUUGAAUUGAAACUGAAUUGCUGCCAUCAAGGUACAAUAAAUAAACGACCUACAGCGGCCUACAGGUCAGUAAUGUUAAGGAAAA